GCCCCGAUGGCUCAGCAUGGUAGAGCGUCCGCUUGGUAAGCGGGAGGCCGCGGGUUCAAAUCCCGCUCGGGGCUCCA
rnacentral:tRNA from 2 species